CCCUGGCACCGGAGGCUGAUGCCAAGACUUCUGCAAGGCUCACGCUGAAAAAAGAAACCAGAUUCUGGUACCGACCAGAGAAAAGUCGGUUAAGGAUGAGGGGUUUUGUGAGGUGCCUGUGGUCACUGGAUGGGGAAGGUGGAAGUGCUCUAGGUCCUUGUUCAUUUAACAGUGUCACAUUAGUGGGGAGAGGGGGGUUAGGGUCCCACCUGGACCUGGGCCUUGGAAAGAAAAGUCCUGAGAAUACUUUGGCUGAGUUUGGGCAGCAAGUAACCAACGUGCUCCCUGACUAAAGCCUUAAACCCAGAGAGGCCUCUGGCACAGGGCUUCUGCUUAACUGGGCUGCCAGAAUUGCCAUCUCCUGACUGUGUGACAUGGCUGCAUAAAUGUCCUACAUGACCGGUCAGACAUCUCUGGAGCCUGCAGUCCAUCUCAUCUCACAGGCGCUUCCUUCCCUCCACUGUGUAGGGAAACUGGGGUGCCUCCAGGUGGCAGCCCUGUCCACUCAAAAAGAGGGGUUUGGUUUUCCCUUGAGAUGACAAGGAGACAUCGGUAGUGGAAUUAGCUUGGGAUUUAGUCCACCUUAGCAGCAUGUUGGUGUGAUGAUGCUGUAUGUGCUAGUAGUGAUACUCCCUGCUUUCAUACAAUGGUCCAGCACCUGUAGGACUUGUACCAAACCAGAAGAUGUGGGGUCUGCCAGCCCACGGACAGGGUGGGCAGACUGACCCCCCAGCCUCUGCGGCAGCCUUGGUCCUGCCUGGGACCUGCUGGCAGGAAUCAUGGGGGCAGAAGAACGAGCAUGAAACCAAGCACAGGCUUUAGUAAUUGCAGCAUUUAAUUGACUGGUUACAGACAGGAACCUGGAAAUAUAAUGUAAAAAUAUAUUUAACUAAAAAAACCGACAACAAACCAUUGAGAAGUAAAAACUGUGGUGGUCUAUAGAAGCGAUCGCUGCCACUGGCAAACAGCCUUCUGGAACUGGCUGGUAAGGUCAAAGUCUUCUGUGCUUGGGGCAUACCUAGCAGCUAUUGGGGAGAGAGGUGGAAAGCUCAGGCUUCAGCCAUCUCUGCGCCACCAGGAUUUAGGUGGUUGGGCACCACAAGCAGGUUCUUGGUGAGAAGUCAGAUAUCUACAGGUGGCAGCUGAGAGGCUCUUUGCAAAACCUGAGCUUGAUCCCCUUGAUCCAAUCAAUAACACCUUGAAGGACUUCUUAAAGGAGUUUAAAAUAGCAAUAAGUUGACAGCAGUAAUGAAAUUUGGGUGUUCCCAAUAUUUACAGCUCAGUUUCUAUUCCCCAAAAAAGGAUCAAAAUCCAAAUGUUUUAAGGAUCUAUCUAGGUCAUUGCUCACAGGUGCUUUAUGGUAUUCAGGAAAAUGCCCUGUUUUCUGACCAGAAAGAAGACUUGUAGGUUGAUCAUGCAGAAUUUGAAGUUUUGCUUUAAUGCAGUGAAAAAGCAACACAAAGAGCUGGUGUCUGAAUUCUGGUUAGUCUAAUGAUAGAAGUCCCUUUUAUUCAUGCUUUUAAUUAAGGAUGAGGUUUUCUUUCUGUCACAAUGCACAGAAUUAUUUCUAAAUUGUAUUUGAGGCUUCUAGCAGAAGAGGUUAACUAACGCUGUGAACUCAUCCACCCAGGGGAGCUCUGAAUUAAUAUGGUGUUUGAGUGGGGAGAUCAAAGCACUGAUACCAGAUGAAAUGCUAUUAACAGUUUUGCACAAACAAAAAUCUUCCAGAAAUUUCAGUGCAAGACAUUGGAACUGAGCAAUGGCUGUGGAUGGGGAAAAGGUGGCUCCAUCCCAGUGCUGGCUUUAUUUGAUGGUCAAAGCAAAGGCUGACGGGAACAAAUCAUUCACCAGUUGUGGAUGUAUUGGCCAUGGUCAAGUCUGUAAUGUAUCAUCGGAGAAGUUGCACGGCAGGAGCAGAGGCAGCAUGCUGUGCUGUCUUCUCCCAGAUUCCCUGAUGAAGACAAAUGCUGAAAUGUGUUGCUGUAGUUUGGAUGUUCCAGCUUCCCAGCUUGUACUACAAGCCUCCUGCUUAUUUUCCCACAUUGUAUCCCACUAAACAGUUCAGGAAGCUGCUCUACCCAGUGGUCGUUGGUGGAGUUUUUUCCCUCUUUUUAACUAGAAAGCCACCCAUCUGGCAAUGUUCCCUUCCGUUUGGCGGUUCUGCUGUUGAUAGUAAAAGUCAAAUUCUUUAAAUAAGCUGAAUUUGAUUGCCAUCCUUUCAUCCCUUGUUGCUUUGCUAAAAAAAAAAAAAAAAGUGUUCCAGAUAGAGACUCUGCAUUUUUUUCAAAGCCUGCAUAUCUAUCUUACGCCAAUAUUUUCCUAACUCCACAACUGAGAUCAAAUCAACAACUUAUAAAGGUAGGCUUAGGCCAGUAAUUAAGCAAGUACUCUAGGAAAGAAUUAAGUGGGAUCUACAGCAUUGGCCUGUCCUUUUUCAAAUGCCGAGUUUAUAUACGUGACCAUGCAUUUCAAAUGGGUCAAAAGAGCUUGGUUGUAAGUACCCAACACAUUGUUGUGAAUUAAUAUUUAAUCAAAUGUACAACAUAGGGCCGAAUAUUAAAGCUUAUCUUUGAUUUUUACUUUAAUGAUUUUCUUGGGUUUCUAAAACCCUCUGAAAAUACUUCAGAGUAUUUUCAUAUUUUAUGUUAUGUAAUUAUAUAAUAUUUUAAAGAAACUAGAUUUCAUAAGUUUUACUCAUAUGAUAUAUUUCUUAACUGCGAUUAAAGCUACUGAGAAUGUAAAUCUACAAAGGGAAAUCUAAGCAUGACCUCAUCAGCAUAAAGUAUGUGGGAGACUAAUUUAGUUACAUCCCUAUUAGUAAUGGCAAAUCAAAUUGUUCCUCCUGUUAAAUCACUAAUAUAGCAAGGUUUUGCAACUCAGCACAUAGCACACACAAUAAAUCAGUUCAGGCUGUACACAAAUACUGAUGACUGCUUUAUAUCUGGGUUAGUUUCUGCUUCCAAACUACUUCAGUGCAGUUCAGUUGAGCCAUCCUAGUUCCCUUAAUACCCGGAAAGAAAAAAAACAAAGUUAAUCUCUACUCCCAUGUACCGUUUAUUAAGCUCUCAACAUCUAUAAGCCUGUAGCUGAUGGCUUAGCAACCUCUUUGGGAGGCCCAGCUCACCUGAUGCGCUAUCGGCAGCUCUGCCGUUACAGGGGAAGCGGGUGGAUGAAAUGAGGUCAGGCAGUGUAAGCUUACCCCGCGCCGAGGGGCGUUCGCUCCGCUCCGUAAUGAAAUUAAUCAAGGUCGUUUAAUUUGAUCCUGUUUUAUUGUUAUAACAUGAACCUAUAAUUUGAGGUAGCUCAGAGAGGCACAGUCUUAUCUGUAAUUAUACCUUUAUAAUUACAUUUAUAUUUUAAAGUAAACAUUUUCAUGUAUUGCCGUAAAUAGACUGUGUAUGAUAAAGAAUAAUGUUCUCUCAUGCUGCUUUUCAGCCAGAGCUGCCUUACUGAAAACACGGGCUGUAAAUGAGAUGGGGGAGCGACUGAAUUCAGUCAGUUGUGUGCUGUUUAAUUUGGUUUCAUGCGAGUGUUUUAUGUAUCUUACGUGUUAAGGAUAAAACUGAGCUUAAACCCCUAUGCAGGCCCAAAAUCAAAGGCUAGGACAAUUGAAAGAGACAAAGAACAACUGCUGUUUAGUCACGUUAACUUUUAAAAAUUGCAAAGCCAAGGCAAAGAGCUUGUCUUCAGCUGGCAAAGCUCUAGGAGUUUGUGGCGGCUGAAAAACCACGUGCUGGAGACACCUCCAGACAGAUGGCUGUGACAGCGGCGAGCAAGCAGCGAGGGACCAGCCCUGCCGAUCCUGCAGGUGAUGGGCUGCCCAGACAGAAGAAGCUGUGAUGAGCUGGACCAGACUUUACUCUGGACAGUCCUUCAACCAUCCCAGGGGACCUCAUGCCCACCAACCUCCAUGCUCUGCUGCAGAACCCAAAACACCUUCAAAUCCUGCUGCAAAAACAUGAUGCUGACAGGCUGCCACCCAAUCCUUUCAUUGUUUGGAGAAUUUCUAACUUAAAAAAAAAAAAAGGUAAAAAAAAAAAAAAAAAAGGUCCUUGAUAAAAUAAUUAUUGACCAAGGGUCCAUGGGGCUCUGUAGGGAGCUCAGAGGAGACCCAGGCCAAGUGCUACACAGUAUGAAGGUAACCAUUGCCCUUCAGAGAGUGCUGGUCCUUAGCGGUGUGGACACAUGCCAGCCCAUAGCAAUGAGCAAUGAGUUAAUGGUGCCUCCCAGGCAUUUUCCUAAGCGGCAGUGAACAGCAGCCUUUGCCAAGUAGCCAACACUCAGCAUUUCCUUUCUUCUCCCUGAGAUAUUUCUGGACUUUGCAAACCUCUUCUUCCCUGUGGCUCGGUGCUCCAGCAGAAGAGCGGUGAGGACUCUGGAGCUGUACAAGUGGGUGCCGCAGAGGCAGGUGAUGCAGCAGGUCCACGAGGACAGGUCUGCAGAGGCAGAAUAAGGGCACCAAGUGUGGGGAGCCCAGAAGGAGGGAAACAACAAGCCUGUGCAGGAACCAGAAAAAUACAGUGACGUUACUGGAAGAAAACAGCUCGGACAUGAAUCCCAACCCUACUCCAUUUUGAAGGGAAUCUCCUGAAACAUACUCAUGAACAAUUUGCAGUGAAGCCAAUCAUCUGUCACCAGCAAUAAAAGCAUUGAUAGAAAAUGUUCCAGUACAUCCCUGCAAAAUGAAUAUGUGAACACAGAUUUGUAAAAGACGGACUAGAAUUGAAUGACAAGGGACCCGAGAGGUGCUGCAUGAACAAGCCACACAAGAACCUCAAGGCCCAGCCAUCAGGUCAGUGUGCCUUCUUUUAGCUUGCCACAGUAUUUAGAAGUGACACGGUAUUUUUGCAACUUUUAUUUUUCAGUUUCUCAUUUGUGAUGGUUUUAUAUGAGACCACUGCUAUAAAAAUAUUUGCUCACCUCCAGAUAAGAAAAGAAAUUGGCUUCUCAAGAUGUUUCAAUUUGAGCACCCAAAACCAAUGGUCAUGCCUGAAAAUUUUGUCGCCUUCACUUUCUGUGUUGUCCCAGGAUCCUUCAGAGCAGAUAUCCCCCCUCCAAAAAGUUGUGUAAACACGUACAGCCAAGUGACGGGUAACUGGACUCCAUCAGAAGAAACUGGAAGGGCUGGAAAAGCUUUUUGUGCCUUGUUUCAUACAAAGUCUGGGCUGGUUGGGGUGAUAUCAGUGGCUUCACUGGCACCACCUCCCAAACUGAAACCCAUGGUUUCCUGGUCACUCUUACUCUUCUUCAGCAUCUCUGGUAACAACACAUCAGCAGCAACCUUGGCUGUUUGAACAGAAGUCUCCUGUCUGCAGUCUGUUAUUAAAUUCUCUUAUGUCUUUAUUAGAUAUCAGAUGUGAUGAAAGAAGGUGAUGUCUCCAGGGAAAUCUUGCAUGAGGUGUGGAGAUGGGAUGCUAAUGGACUGGGGAAGACAGAAAGUCUAUGAGUAUAAUGAUCUACUAACACCCCUGUGAGAGUAUCAAGAUCCAGAUCUCUUUUUUUGGUUGUUGGUUUUUUUCCUCCCCAGUGGAAAAGGCACUUGGGCAGUAUAUAGAACAAAGUACUUAUCUCUCCCCCGCUCAGUAGUGCUCCUUCCUAUUUUAAGGAUGUUUUGGUGUCUUUGCUUUUUAUUAUUUUGCCAUUCUGCGAUCUCGAUUCCUUUUAUGUCACCUAUUGGUACAACCGAUGAGUCUUUCUUUCCAUGUGACAGCUUCAUUUCUGAGAAAAAUGGCAAAAUGACUGCAGAAUCAGCAUUUUAAGAAAUAGUUGAUUAAACAGGAGAGGGAAAGAAGGAUCCAGACUGCAGGACUAAACCCUGAGGAGCUGGUGUGUGGGUGCCAGGCAACACUGUGGGGGCCUGCCCAAGGCAGGAGGAGCCAAACCCAGGGUAAAGAAAUAAAUAGGUUACAACAUUGCACUGCAUUGCAUUUGUAUUCCUUAAUUUUAAAAAUGUUAAAAUAGAGGUAGGGUUGAAAGAAUGUUUUUUGAAUUAUUUAAGGGCAUGUGCUUAAAAGCUCAGAAAAUGCAGAGAUAAUGGUUAAAUCUAUAUGGUCAGGAAUGUUGUGUCUACGUUAACCUCAGCCCCUACCCCUCCUGGCAUGUCCUGGAUGCAUGCACACGUCCUGCUCCUUCCUCCUUCCCAACAGGCUUCUUGUGAAGGUCUGCAGAUGUAUUUAUGAUACCGGUAGUGUUCAUAAAGGCCACUUUUCAUGCCAGAAACUCUCCUUUCUUUCACCAUGGCCACAGGCUCCCCCCAUGCCAUUGGAGCUCACACCAGCCCAGGGAAGGAUGUGCUCUGCUCUGUCUUCUAUAUACGAUAGAAAAAGGAUCUUCCCCUUCAGUGCAAAUCCCAGCCAAAGCUACAUGGGACGAGGACAACUGGUUCUGCAAGAGAAGUCCAUGUACUCCAGGAUCGUGGCUCACACCCAUCUUGUCACACUUUCAGGGUCUCCACAUGCCCUUCCCUUUCUGGCCAUCAGCUGCCAGCAGGGCUGCAGGAGCUGUCUGAGACACGGACUCCUUCAACAAUGGAGCAAAAUGAUUUUUUCCUAAGUGAAGGCCUACCAUAUAAAGUGAGACUUACCUCA